rnacentral:rRNA from 1 species
AGCAGUCGCCGCGGUAAUACAGAGGGUGCGAGCGUUAAUCGGAUUUACUGGGCGUAAAGCGUGCGUAGGCGGCUUUUUAAGUCGGAUGUGAAAUCCCUGAGCUUAACUUAGGAAUUGCAUUCGAUACUGGGAAGCUAGAGUAUGGGAGAGGAUGGUAGAAUUCCAGGUGUAGCGGUGAAAUGCGUAGAGAUCUGGAGGAAUACCGAUGGUGAAGGCAGCCAUCUGGCCUAAUACUGACGCUGAGGUACGAAAGCAUGGGGAGCAAACAGGAUUAGAUACCCCGGUAGUCCCUGUCUCUUAUAC